UGUUGCAGUAGGUGGGCUAUCGUUCGAAAUAUAUUGUUGUCUAUAUUGACAGAAGCGUAAUUUAUUCCCGUCCUGUUUUUUUCUGUGAUUCAGUUUAAAAUUGUAUACCACGCAAGCAACAUGAGAAAAAUAACAAUAAUUGUUCAUCUUAUGGAUCGGUUUCCCAGAACUAUCCGGUAACAGAAGUGAUACAGACAGAUGAUAAAUUGUGACCGUGAACUUUUGCUGGCAACAUUCCUUCCCUUUGUUCCCGUUGGUCACAAUAUUUUUUGGCAUGCUGAAAAUCUAAAAAUAACUCACGGGAUACGUACG